ensembl:ncRNA F10F2.14 ncRNA
ACUAAAAAUUGGCAGAGAUUCUGGCAAUUUAUUUCCCAAGGCAAUUAGUUAAAAAACGUUCGUUUCGAAGGCCGAAAAGGGAAAAUUGAGAACAGCGAAUAGAAAAAACUGGUAUGUUUUGAGGGAC